UGUUAUGUUCACUUGAUACGCAACUUAGAAACGCAGUGCAUAAUUCACUUACAGUAGAGUACACCUUAUCAGGCCUGGCAGCACAGUCUCUGUCUAACCUCCGAUAGUCAACAUAAUGAGUAAACAUUAACCCAGCUCUACCUUUCUAUUCUUCAUCCUACACUGUAUUAAAACCCCUCAGCUGUGAAGGAGCUAGGCAAUGAACACUGCCUAGACUUAAGGAAUAAGGUAAAACAUAGCUUUUGGAUUGUGUGAAAGUGCUUACCUCACAAGACAGCAAGGCUUAAGGGAUUUCGGGAAUUGGAAGUGGACUUCUUGAACCAGAUGAAGGACAGGACCGUAUAAUAAAUAAUUAACAGAGGCCUACAUGUCCGAUUCCCUGUAUACAUCGUAAGCUUUACUGAGAACGUUAAUAGAUGUCUGUGGAAAGUGUUCUAGCAAAGGUUCCAGAGCAUCCUGGUCUGGAUGGGACAACAGAGGAUUGGGUCCAGUGGACUGUGCAGCGCCUGCAGAUGGAACCCUGGGCACUGGGGGGGGCCGUGGUCAUAGGGCUCUUCCUGCUGAUGAUCCUGGCUCUGGUGGUCUUUGCUCUGAUAUAUGGCUGUUGCUGCUCACCAAAGGGAGGAAAAAGGAGGAUGAAGAAUGGUGUGCUUUAGAGAAACGGGUGACCCCCAAUACCCCCAAUCUGUUGGCCAUUUCGAUGUUAUGUGAUUCCUUGACUACCCCCAAAAACACGCAUUUUUGUGAGACCCCAUUAUUUUUCAGCUUUACAGGCAAACCAAUCAAAAACAAAUUCUCAUUUACAAUGACCAGACAGCCAAAGGCAUAACAUAGCAGAUAACAUUCAGUUACCCAUAAAAACAAUUAAUAGAACAAAUUAAUAAAUUGUACCAUAAGAAGAGAUGAAAA